rnacentral:rRNA from 1 species
UGGCGGCGUGCCUACACAUGCAAGUCGAACGAGAAAGUGGAGCAAUCCAUGAGUAAAGUGGCGACCGGGUGAGUAACACGUGACUAACCUACCCUCGAGUGGGGAAUAACUCCGGGAAACCGGGGCUAAUACCGCAUAACAUCGCAAGAUCAAAGCAGCAAUGCGCUUGAGGAGGGGGUCGCGGCUGAUUAGCUAGUUGGCGGGGUAACGGCCCACCAAGGCGAAGAUCGGUAUCCGGCCUGAGAGGGCGCACGGACACACUGGAACUGAAACACGGUCCAGACUCCUACGGGAGGCAGCAGUGGGGAAUUUUGCGCAAUGGGGGAAACCCUGACGCAGCAACGCCGCGUGGAGGAUGAAGCCCUUUGGGGCGUAAACUCCUUUCGACUCGGACGAUAAUGACGGUACGAGUGGAAGAAGCACCGGCUAACUCUGUGCCAGCAGUCGCGGUAAUACAGAGGGUGCGAGCGUUGUUCGGAAUUAUUGGGCGUAAAGGGCGCGUAGGCGGUGCGGUAAGUCACCUGUGAAAUCUC